UACGUAGGGGGGCUAGCGUUGUCCGGAAUCAUUGGGCGUAAAGAGCGUGUAGGCGGCCCGAUAAGUCCGCCGUGAAAGUCCAGGGCUCAACCCUGGAAUGCCGGUGGAAACUGUCGGGCUGGAGUCCGGAAGAGGCGAGUGGAAUUCCUGGUGUAGCGGUGAAAUGCGCAGAUAUCAGGAGGAACACCAAUGGCGAAGGCAGCUCGCUGGGACGGUACUGACGCUGAGACGCGAAAGCGUGGGGAGCAAACAGG
rnacentral:rRNA from 1 species